CCUUCCCAGCCGCCCUCCACCUCUUCCCAGCCUCUUUCCACCCUCUCCCCCAAGCGCGCCCUGUCCAUACUCCUCUCCCUCCAUCCUAGCGCCUCCCGCACACCACUGAACAGCUGCUCCACGGCAUGCAGGAGGAACUGGGAGGGAGGAGGAGGAGUUGAUCAGUGGGGGUCGCAGGCGGCCAUGAGAUGGAGGGAGCACCCGCUCUCUGAUCUGAACUCUAGACCACACUGCCUCUCGAAUGGUCCAAGGAACUAGUAAAAAAGUAUUUCCCUGUCGUCAUUAGCGGUAGUGGUCAGGCACAAGGUUUGUAGGGCUGUGACAGAGUUGGUGCAGGGGACAGUCCUUGAGCCACCAGCAGAUAUAAAGGAGGAGAAUAAAAAGAGCAAUCCCUAGGAUGCCCAUGGUGUGAGGAGUUGUGGGCCGAAACCAAGCUAUGGAGGUGACCACCCCCCACCAGCAGUGAUUUCUAUGGGUGAAGAAUGAGUGGGCUCCACAAGCGGGACCUGGAGGAUUACUAAGGGAGCCCCACGAGGUAGCACCUCCAGUAAGAGGGAAAGAAAACACCUUCCUGUCAGUGUUGUUGCAGCUGUGAUGGUUCCAGGAUAUGAGAGAGACAAGCUGGUGGAGACAAUCCAAGUAGGGGGAGAUACAGCAGAACACUCCCUUCAAGACAGACUCCAUGUUGCCUAAUUCACAGCUGGAAAUAGACUUUUGUUUGGACAUCUCCUUCAGAAGAAUCCUCUUCAAGGAUUCAAUGGACUAUACAAGAAAGGGGCUGAGAAACCCAAUGUAUCUCUCUUUCACCUAAGAAGACAAGAGUACCAGCCUUUUGACUUUGGAGGAUAGAUCCUGACCCAGGAGCUCCAUCAGCCAUAUUGAUGGAAACGUGGUGCAGAGGAAGGAGGAGCUCCACUGAAGUCAAUGGAGCUACACCAGUGUAAAUCAGAGAGGGAUCUAGCCCUGCAUGGUGCCUAGAGGAUGCAGGCAUUUUAUCACUAUCUAUAGGUAUCAUUUAAAUAAUUAGUUGAUGAUAGUAAAGCACUUUGAAGAUGACAAGCACUGGAUAAGUGCUGGGUAUUAUUAUUUAUUAUUAGCUGUCAGUGAUCACAGGUUUUGAGUUCCUUCAAACUUUUCUUUUCAAAACUCUGCCCUCCGUCCAUCUCUCCUCCGCCUCCCAAGAACUCCUCCUUCUCAGAGUCCGUCAUCAAAGAUGUGCAGAUUAUAGAAAUGUACUGGUCCAUUUUGUUGCUCAGAAGGCCAAACCCAUGACGGAUGGUUGCAACUGCAUCACAUCUAUCAUUUGGUUACAUUGCUUGGACUAGUAUUGAAACAUUUUUCAUCAAGAUCACUUUUUAAAAAGUAACCAACAGAGAAAAAUUAAAGGACUAAACCAAGUUAAAUAAUAAAAAUGAAAUCUUGUGUCCUUUUCACGUAUCUAAGACUUUUCUUAUUGCGUUUUACUGGGAAGGGAGGGGUAUUAGUUAUUUUUUUAAGAACCAAGAGUAAAAUGUUCAAAAAUGCCUAAGUGACUUAGGAGCCUACAGGCUUGUCUGCAUGAGAAAACCACACUGGUUGAACUA